GACGAACGCUGGCGGCGUGCUUAACACAUGCAAGUCGAACGAUGACGCCCGAGCUUGCUCGGUCUGAUUAGUGGCGAACGGGUGAGUAACACGUGAGCAACCUGCCCUUCACUCUGGGAUAACCUCGGGAAAUCGGGGCUAAUACCGGAUAUGAGCUCCUGUCGCAUGGCGGGUGUUGGAAAGUUUUUCGGUGAAGGAUGGGCUCGCGGCCUAUCAGUUUGUUGGUGAGGUAGUGGCUCACCAAGGCGAUGACGGGUAGCCGGCCUGAGAGGGCGACCGGCCACACUGGGACUGAGAAACGGCCCAGACUCCUACGGGAGGCAGCAGUGGGGAAUAUUGCACAAUGGGCGAAAGCCUGAUGCAGCGACGCCGCGUGAGGGAUGACGGUCUUCGGGUUGUAAACCGCUUUCAGCAGGGAAGAAGCGAAAGUGACGGUACCUGCAGAAGAAGCGCCGGCUAACUACGUG
rnacentral:rRNA from 1 species